rnacentral:lncRNA from 1 species
AAUUCAGUCACCUUCAGCUACAAAAUGAAUUUGAGGCUAGCCUAGACUACAUGGGAACAAAACCCAAACCAAAUGGAGAGUAAUAACAAAACAAUAGAAAGAACUCUUUGUGCCGUGUCCCCGUGCCACCCCACCUCCCUACCCCCAGGAAACAGGGUGAGCCUCUCCACCUGCUGAGCUGGUGGCCAGUCUACUUUGUUGAGUAAUUAGACUUUCAGUUUAAGCUCAGGUGAAGGAAAUACUGAAGGAGCUGAGCCAGAAGGCCCAGGGCUUGAAGACACUGGUGAGAGAGCUGGGGGCGGAGUAGAGUAAUAGAUUGUUUAGAAGUCUGAAAGUUUCCAUGAUGACACACACCAGCACUAGGGAGGCAGGUGGAUCUCUGAGUUUGAGGCUGGCCUGGUCUACAGAGUGAGUUCUAGGACAGCCAGGGCUACACAGAGAAACCCUGUCUCGAAAAAAAAACAAAUUCUGGAAGUUCAGUAUUUUGAAUUAGCUUUUGCACUAGGCCUUAAUAUGCCAGAUUACAGUUAAAAGUGCUAAAGUUCCGACUAGCUGAAACUAGGUUAUUAUCUUAAUAGAAACCAAGGCAGGAAGAAAGGAUGGCCCAUAUCCCCGAAUAGGCAACUGUAACCGGCAUGACAGUGAGGUUGCUUGGUAAUCCUUUAAUCCUACCAAAAUGUAAACGGAAGAGCCUGGCAGGCAUCACACACCAGUAAUUGCAGCGCUCUGGAGGGUGAGAAAGGAUUGCAAGUCCUGGACUAUAGAGAGAUCAUGCCUCACACCCCUACACACACACACACACACACACACACACACACACACACACACACACACCCCUCAAUCCCUUUCUCUCCCCAGCCUACACAUAAACUUUGAAAUGAGCAGUAAGCUUCAAGGUCUUGUCUUCAAAUAUACCUUUCUGGGGUUUUCUGCCAUUUUCUCUAACUCCAAAUUCUUCUGCUCAGUUAGCAGAACACUUACUCUAUAUUACUCAGUGAACUGUUGCCCUCUUCCGGAAACACUGUGCCUUGUGCCUAUAGUCACAGCCCUAGGGAGGCUUGGACAGGGUUACUGUGUUUGAGUCUGAGACCAAUCUAGGCUACACAGCAAGUAAAUUCUAGGUCACCCCGGUCUACACAUUAAGACAUCCGCAGUAUGUCUGCAAACACCCACGGUAUGUUUUGACAUUGACCGCCCAGAGAGGCUUCUGCUCGACCUGUUUCCAGAGAAAUGCCCAGCAUCCGAGCCCAAGCACAGGCUACUGCUCACCCAUGAGCCCCUGAAAACCUUACUUACCUCUGCUAACUCGAGGCAGGCACCGUUAAAGGCAGAACCCUACAAUAAGACACCCCAAAGCACUCUCAUUUAUUUUGAGCGAGUUCCUCAUGAGGAAAACUGAGCAGGCUGGAACGUUCCUGCCUUCCAGCUUAACCGUGCUCCGUGACCCUCAGCUCAGCAUGCACUGAGCACACGUGCUCAGGAGUGGGCUGGCUCCCGUAUGAAUAUGAACAGGCUCCCUGACUGUAAUCGCUCUGGUUCUUCUGUCAGAGGCUAUCAGAGGCUCCCCUCUGCGGCCUGAGGAGUUCCCUUACCUGUUUUAGGGAUUUGCAAUCAAGUAGAGCUGGAUUCUUGGCCUCCAAGUAGAAAAGAAUUUGAGGAUGAGACAGUUUGAAGCAGAGUUAAGAGUUUAUUUAAAAC